UCCCUGGUGUCUCAGAUGGUAAAGAAUCUGCCUGCAAUGCAGGAGACCCAGGUUCAAUCCCUGGGUUGGGAA
rnacentral:tRNA from 1 species